UACGUAGGGGGCAAGCGUUGUCCGGAUUUAUUGGGCGUAAAGAGCGUGUAGGCGGCCAGGUAGGUCUGGUGUGAAAACUCGAGGCUUAACCUCGAGAUGUCAUCGGAAACCAUCUGGCUAGAGUCCGGAAAGAGGAGAGUGGAAUUCCUGGUGUAGCGGUGAAAUGCGCAGAUAUCAGGAAGAACACCAAUGGCGAAGGCAGCUCUCUGGGACGGUACUGACGCUGAGACGCGAAAGCGUGGGGAGCGAACAGG
rnacentral:rRNA from 1 species